rnacentral:rRNA from 1 species
UACGUAGGGUGCAAGCGUUGUCCGGAAUUAUUGGGCGUAAAGGGCUCGUAGGCGGUUUGUCGCGUCGGGGAGUGAAAACUCAGGGCUUAACCCUGAGCCUGCUUCCGAUACGGGCAGACUAGAGGUAUGCAGGGGAGAAUGGAAUUCCUGGUGUAGCGGUGAAAUGCGCAGAUAUCAGGAAGAACACCUAUGGCGAAGGCAGCUCUCUGGGGACGGUACUGACGCUGAGACGCGAAAAGCGUGGGGGAGCGAACAGG